rnacentral:lncRNA from 1 species
UCUUGGCAUUAAAAAAUUCUACCACAUUUUAUUUGUAAAAUUUUCUCUUCCUCUCUUAAUUCUACUGAGCUGAAAUGAAAAAAAUGGUUUAAACAUUUGCCUUGUGUUGCAAUAAAGUCCUGUAAUACAUAUUUGAAAACUGAGCUUGCUGUAUAGAAAGAUGACGGGCAAGCUAAAACUUGCAUUAAGCUACACCAUCAAUAUACUCUUAGAAGUGGAGUGAAUCUCAAUCUUCAUGGGGUUGAAAUACAAUACCCCUGGAUAUUUACUUAUUCAGGAGGUGUGACAUUCCAUUUAAAUUUUUGAAAAUAAUAUACAGCACUUUUGGAGAGAGUUGUUUGGAAAGAGAGAGAAACUUAAUCAAAGAAAAAUACGAUUCAAACACAAUCAUCACCACAAUAAGUUCCUUAAAAACCUAAUACAGAAUGCACAAACACACCUGACUUGACUUAUUUAUUUAAAAUAUGGAGAAAAGCUAAAAUCCUAUAGAUUGCUUUACUUUUUAAAUUUAGCAGACCAAUGCCCAUCAAUAACAGAAAACAAGUGAAUAUCACACUAAUACUAUAAGAUUAUAGCAACUUCAGAAGAAAAUUAAAAUCAAACACUGGACUAAAUGUGAAAUCAAAUCUUUCAUUUAGGUUUACCAAUUUCUAUGCAUAGGGAACAGAAUACUUAGGGUAUCAGGAAUCAGUUAAGGACAGAUUUUUGCAGGAUAUAGAUUGUCAUGAAAUUUUAAUUUUGUAAAAGCUAAAUUUGUUUAUCCUCUUUUCCUGUUGGUUGCCUGUAUUCAAAAUAUCCUUAAAUUUUACCUACAACAUCAUCAGUAAAAACCAGCUGCCACAUAUAACAAAUGACACUCUGAUUAGUUAUCAGGCUUUUCUUCACUUUUAUUCCUCUCUGAGAAGAAAAAAAACUCUAAUCUUUAAGAGCAUGUGUGGCCGAAAGAGAUCUAGACACGAGGAGAUUGGCUGUUCCUGUAAGUGCCCGCCACUACGAAGAGUGCCUUGGCAAAGCAGUUAAGACCUUUGUGAAGCUGGACUAUCCUAACUGCCCUGGAUGUAGGGUCUCUGGAUGACAAAAUAGAUGUCUGCAGUCGUAAAGACAAGUCAAGGUCCCUCUGUGAGACAACCUUUCACAACACAACAUUUAGCCAUUGUUCAUUGAAUCCACAAGUAUAUAUGUUGGUUUCAGUAAUCUUGACAAAUAGUCUUUUAGGAAAAAAUAAAUGUUAUGAAAGGCAUAUUUACCAAUUAUGUCACAAUCAGAGCUACGUUUCAUCUUAUGUGGCUAGUCAUUGAUUAGCACAAUUUCAAAAAGCUGAAAUACUUUCCCAGGCAUAUUCCGCAGAUCCUCUAAAUGUGAUACAAUCCACAGCUUUUAGAGUUACAUGAAUAGCCAACACCUCCUGAUGCUGGGUAAUUGGAACCACAGUAACAGGUCCUCAAAGUGACUCUAAUGG